CUAUCAUCAGCUUGUUAUCAUAUAACUAACUCUUUGUUUCAUCUCUCAAUAGCUUUCAUUUUAAACUAUGGCUUCUUUCGGCGUGGUUUCUCUUUUUGCGGUUUUGCUUGUGGCUUCUUGUGUAUCAAACUCAGAAGCAUGCACUCGUGACA